GAUGAACGCUGGCGGCGUGCUUAACACAUGCAAGUCGAACGGAAAGGCCCAAGCUUGCUUGGGUACUCGAGUGGCGAACGGGUGAGUAACACGUGGGUGAUCUGCCCUGCACUUCGGGAUAAGCCUGGGAAACUGGGUCUAAUACUGGAUAGGACCACUUCUUGGAUGGUGUGGUGGAAAGUUUUUUCGGUGUGGGAUGAGCUCGCGGCCUAUCAGCUUGUUGGUGGGGUAAUGGCCUACCAAGGCGUCGACGGGUAGCCGGCCUGAGAGGGUGUACGGCCACAUUGGGACUGAGAGACGGCCCAGACUCCUACGGGGGGCAGCAGGGGGGAAUAUUGCACAAUGGGCGCAAGCCUGAUGCAGCGACGCCGCGUGGGGGAUGACGGCCUUCGGGUUGUAAACUCCUUUCGCUAGGGACGAAGCGUUUUUGUGACGGUACCUGGAGAAGAAGCACCGGCUAACUACGUG
rnacentral:rRNA from 1 species